UGCAAGUCGAACGCUUUUUCUUUCACCGGAGCUUGCUCCACCGAAAGAAAAAGAGUGGCGAACGGGUGAGUAACACGUGGGUAACCUGCCCAUCAGAAGGGGAUAACACUUGGAAACAGGUGCUAAUACCGUAUAACACUAUUUUCCGCAUGGAAGAAAGUUGAAAGGCGCUUUUGCGUCACUGAUGGAUGGACCCGCGGUGCAUUAGCUAGUUGGUGAGGUAACGGCUCACCAAGGCAACGAUGCAUAGCCGACCUGAGAGGGUGAUCGGCCACACUGGGACUGAGACACGGCCCAGACUCCUACGGGAGGCAGCAGGAGGGAAUCUUCGGCAAUGGACGAAAGUCUGACCGAGCAACGCCGCGUGAGUGAAGAAGGUUUUCGGAUCGUAAAACUCUGUUGUUAGAGAAGAACAAGGAUGAGAGUAAAAUGUUCAUCCCUUGACGGUAUCUAACCAGAAAGCCACGGCUAACUACGUGCCAGCAGCCGCGGUAAUACGUAGGUGGCAAGCGUUGUCCGGAUUUAUUGGGCGUAAAGCGAGCGCAGGGGGUUUCUUAAGUCUUAAGUGGAAGCCCC
rnacentral:rRNA from 1 species